rnacentral:rRNA from 1 species
UGGAGACCCGUAUGAAUGGCUCCACGAGGGCUUAGCUGUCUCCCCCUCCCAGUCAAUGAAAUUGAUCUCCCCGUGCAGAAGCGGGGAUACUUACAUAAGACGAGAAGACCCUAUGGAGCUUAAGGCGCCAGGACAGCUCAUGUUAAACACCCCUAGAUAAAGGAAUGAACCUAGUGAAUCCUGCCCCAGUGUUUUUGGUUGGGGCGACCGCGGGGAAAUACAAAACCCCCAUGUGGAGUAGGAACACUAUAUGUUCCCAAACCCAAGAGCUACCGCUCUAAUAAACAGAAUUUCUGACCAGCUAAGAUCCGGCAAUGCCGAUCAACGGAAGGAGUUACCCUAGGGAUAACAGCGCAAUCCUCUUAAAGAGUCCUUAUCGACAAGGGGGUUUACGACCUCGAUGUUGGAUCAGGACAUCCUAAUGGUGCAGCCGCUAUUAAGGGUUCGUUUGUUCAACGAUUAAAGUCCU